rnacentral:sRNA from 1 species
UGACGACUUAGUGUUGGCUAUGAUUGGAC